rnacentral:rRNA from 1 species
AACGAACGCUGGCGGCAUGCCUAACACAUGCAAGUCGAACGCCCUCUUCGGAGGGAGUGGCGCACGGGUGCGUAACGCGUGGGAACCUGCCCUUAGGUUCGGAAUAACUCAGAGAAAUUUGAGCUAAUACCGGAUAAUGUCUUCGGACCAAAGAUUUAUCGCCUUUAGAUGGGCCCGCGUUGGAUUAGCUAGUUGGUGGGGUAAAGGCCUACCAAGGCGACGAUCCAUAGCUGGUCUGAGAGGAUGAUCAGCCACACUGGGACUGAGACACGGCCCAGACUCCUACGGAGGCAGCAGUGGGAAUCUUAGACAAUGGGCGCAAGCCAGAUCUAGCCAUGCCGCGUGAUCGAUGAAGGCCUUAGGGUUGUAAAGAUCUUUCAGUGGGGAAGAUAAUGACUGUACCCACAGAAGAAGCCCCCGGGCUAACUCCCGUGCCAGCAGCCGCGGUAAUGUGACUACUG